UCUCUUUAAUCACAGCCACACACGUGGCACAACUCAUGGCUCCAGAUUUCUAGUCUUUUAAAUGAGUUUAAAAUUACCAAAAGACCCCUGACUUUAAACGUUAAUAACUUCUUCGUUAGAACUUCGUUUCACGAACGGUUUACGCCUACGCGUUCGUGAGAUCAAACUCUAUUCAAAAAUAUGAUUUGUGACAUCGAAAAGUCUACGGAUUUUAAAUAAUUAAUGUCCAAACUUUAAAGGGUGUGCUAUCCACACACCUCAUUUUACUUCUUACACACCCCUUGAUAAUUUCUGUUCGUUGAUCUUUUUCAAUUCAUCCGAUCCGAUGGCUGAAAAUUAAAAAGGUGUGUGAGAAGUAAAAUAGGGUGUGUGGAUAUCACACCCCAACUUUAAACCUCGUAACUAGUUUAAUUUAAAACCAAACUCAAAUAACUUAAUAUAAAUUCUCAAUCAUGAAAAUACUUAAAUUUUAAUAAUUUCCGAAAACCAAAACUUAAAAGUUCUCGAUUAAUUUCUCCAUAACCAUAAAUCGAUUCAUUUCCGCUUUUCUCCAUUCUAUAAUUAUGAAUAUAUAUAACUCAUAUAUUUAAAAUUUCAGGGUAUUACAUUCACCCCCCCCCCGGGUUAAAAUAAAUCCCGUCCCUGAGAUUUUACUCGUUAAGUUAUGAGCAAGAACUAGUACUAUUUCCACCAUCUCUACUAUGGUGAAUAAGAUUAUAACCUCUAUCCACAAUUUUAUUCAAAUUAAGAAAAAUCAAUGAAGAAUUCAUCGUGAUUGCACCCAUUUCCUCAUUUUUCCAACCACCUUCUUUGAUAAGUAAAAAUACCAUAACUUCUAGCCACGUACCUUGACCGAAUAAAUAUCAUAAAUUUCUAGCUGUAAUUCGUCAGUGGCCAAAUAAAUAUCACAAUAUUAAGCCAAACCACUAAAAUUGGCAAAUCAGUUAGCAAAAAUUUCAACCAAAAUCAUUGGAAUUCCAACCAUCAUUACUCGCUACCAUGGUCCGAAAUGCCGAUAAUAUCGACGAUAUAUCGCCGAUAUUAUCGGUUUUUAGGAGAACCGAUUUUUUUUUCAAUAUCCAAAUGGUUUUCGGGAUAAUAUCGCGAUAUUAUCGAUAAUAUUGAUAAUAUCGCGAUAUUAUCGAAAUUAUCGAAAAUAUCGGACCAUGACAGAUCGGAGAAGAACGCCG
rnacentral:lncRNA from 1 species